rnacentral:rRNA from 1 species
AAGAUGGCGACCGGCGCACGGGUGAGUAACACGUAUCCAACCUGCCGAUAACUCUGGAAUAGCCUUUCGAAAGAAAGAUUAAUACCGGAUGGCAUACGAAUAUCGCAUGAUAUUUUUAUUAAAGAAUUUCGGUUAUCGAUGGGGAUGCGUUCUAUUAGUUUGUUGGCGGGGUAACGGCCCACCAAGACAACGAUGGAUAGGGGUUCUGGGAGGAAGGUCCCCCACAUUGGAACUGAGACACGGUCCAA